GGGUUGUGAGGUUAAGCGACUAAGCGUACACGGUGGAUGCCCUGGCAGUCAGAGGCGAUGAAGGACGUGCUAAUCUGCGAUAAGCGUCGGUAAGGUGAUAUGAACCGUUAUAACCGGCGAUUUCCGAAUGGGGAAACCCAGUGUGUUUCGACACACUAUCAUUAACUGAAUCCAUAGGUUAAUGAGGCGAACCGGGGGAACUGAAACAUCUAAGUACCCCGAGGAAAAGAAAUCAACCGAGAUUCCCCAGUAGCGGCGAGCGAACGGGGAGCAGCCCAGAGCCUGAAUCAGUGUGUGUGUUAGUGGAAGCGUCUGGAAAGGCGCGCGAUACAGGGUGACAGCCCCGUACACAAAAAUGCACAUGCUGUGAGCUCGAUGAGUAGGGCGGGACACGUGGUAUCCUGUCUGAAUAUGGGGGACCAUCCUCCAAGGCUAAAUACUCCUGACUGACCGAUAGUGAACCAGUACCGUGAGGGAAAGGCGAAAAGAACCCCGGCGAGGGGAGUGAAAAAGAACCUGAAACCGUGUACGUACAAGCAGUGGGAGCACGCUUAGGCGUGUGACUGCGUACCUUUUGUAUAAUGGGUCAGCGACUUAUAUUCUGUAGCAAGGUUAACCGAAUAGGGGAGCCGAAGGGAAACCGAGUCUUAACUGGGCGUUAAGUUGCAGGGUAUAGACCCGAAACCCGGUGAUCUAGCCAUGGGCAGGUUGAAGGUUGGGUAACACUAACUGGAGGACCGAACCGACUAAUGUUGAAAAAUUAGCGGAUGACUUGUGGCUGGGGGUGAAAGGCCAAUCAAACCGGGAGAUAGCUGGUUCUCCCCGAAAGCUAUUUAGGUAGCGCCUCGUGAAUUCAUCUCUGGGGGUAGAGCACUGUUUCGGCAAGGGGGUCAUCCCGACUUACCAACCCGAUGCAAACUGCGAAUACCGGAGAAUGUUAUCACGGGAGACACACGGCGGGUGCUAACGUCCGUCGUGAAGAGGGAAACAACCCAGACCGCCAGCUAAGGUCCCAAAGUCAUGGUUAAGUGGGAAACGAUGUGGGAAGGCCCAGACAGCCAGGAUGUUGGCUUAGAAGCAGCCAUCAUUUAAAGAAAGCGUAAUAGCUCACUGGUCGAGUCGGCCUGCGCGGAAGAUGUAACGGGGCUAAACCAUGCACCGAAGCUGCGGCAGCGACGCUUAUGCGUUGUUGGGUAGGGGAGCGUUCUGUAAGCCUGCGAAGGUGUGCUGUGAGGCAUGCUGGAGGUAUCAGAAGUGCGAAUGCUGACAUAAGUAACGAUAAAGCGGGUGAAAAGCCCGCUCGCCGGAAGACCAAGGGUUCCUGUCCAACGUUAAUCGGGGCAGGGUGAGUCGACCCCUAAGGCGAGGCCGAAAGGCGUAGUCGAUGGGAAACAGGUUAAUAUUCCUGUACUUGGUGUUACUGCGAAGGGGGGACGGAGAAGGCUAUGUUGGCCGGGCGACGGUUGUCCCGGUUUAAGCGUGUAGGCUGGUUUUCCAGGCAAAUCCGGAAAAUCAAGGCUGAGGCGUGAUGACGAGGCACUACGGUGCUGAAGCAACAAAUGCCCUGCUUCCAGGAAAAGCCUCUAAGCAUCAGGUAACAUCAAAUCGUACCCCAAACCGACACAGGUGGUCAGGUAGAGAAUACCAAGGCGCUUGAGAGAACUCGGGUGAAGGAACUAGGCAAAAUGGUGCCGUAACUUCGGGAGAAGGCACGCUGAUAUGUAGGUGAAGUCCCUCGCGGAUGGAGCUGAAAUCAGUCGAAGAUACCAGCUGGCUGCAACUGUUUAUUAAAAACACAGCACUGUGCAAACACGAAAGUGGACGUAUACGGUGUGACGCCUGCCCGGUGCCGGAAGGUUAAUUGAUGGGGUCAGCGCAAGCGAAGCUCUUGAUCGAAGCCCCGGUAAACGGCGGCCGUAACUAUAACGGUCCUAAGGUAGCGAAAUUCCUUGUCGGGUAAGUUCCGACCUGCACGAAUGGCGUAAUGAUGGCCAGGCUGUCUCCACCCGAGACUCAGUGAAAUUGAACUCGCUGUGAAGAUGCAGUGUACCCGCGGCAAGACGGAAAGACCCCGUGAACCUUUACUAUAGCUUGACACUGAACAUUGAGCCUUGAUGUGUAGGAUAGGUGGGAGGCUUAGAAGUGUGGACGCCAGUCUGCAUGGAGCCGACCUUGAAAUACCACCCUUUAAUGUUUGAUGUUCUAACGUUGACCCGUAAUCCGGGUUGCGGACAGUGUCUGGUGGGUAGUUUGACUGGGGCGGUCUCCUCCUAAAGAGUAACGGAGGAGCACGAAGGUUGGCUAAUCCUGGUCGGACAUCAGGAGGUUAGUGCAAUGGCAUAAGCCAGCUUGACUGCGAGCGUGACGGCGCGAGCAGGUGCGAAAGCAGGUCAUAGUGAUCCGGUGGUUCUGAAUGGAAGGGCCAUCGCUCAACGGAUAAAAGGUACUCCGGGGAUAACAGGCUGAUACCGCCCAAGAGUUCAUAUCGACGGCGGUGUUUGGCACCUCGAUGUCGGCUCAUCACAUCCUGGGGCUGAAGUAGGUCCCAAGGGUAUGGCUGUUCGCCAUUUAAAGUGGUACGCGAGCUGGGUUUAGAACGUCGUGAGACAGUUCGGUCCCUAUCUGCCGUGGGCGCUGGAGAAUUGAGGGGGCUGCUCCUAGUACGAGAGGACCGGAGUGGACGCAUCACUGGUGUUCGGGUUGUCAUGCCAAUGGCACUGCCCGGUAGCUAAAUGCGGAAGAGAUAAGUGCUGAAAGCAUCUAAGCACGAAACUUGCCCCGAGAUGAGUUCUCCCUGACUCCUUGAGAGUCCUGAAGGAACGUUGAAGACGACGACGUUGAUAGGCCGGGUGUGUAAGCGCAGCGAUGCGUUGAGCUAACCGGUACUAAUGAACCGUGAGGCUUAACCUUACAACGCCGAAGGUGUUU
rnacentral:rRNA from 1 species